AGCUGAGCUGUUAAUGAAGUC
rnacentral:misc_RNA from 1 species